rnacentral:rRNA from 1 species
CACGUAGGCGGCCUGUUAAGUGUGGAGUGAAAUCCCACGGCUCACCCGUGGAACUGCUUCGCAUACUGGCAAGCUCGAGGACGGUAGGGGAGAGCGGAACUCUUGGUGGAGCGGUGAAAUGCGUAGAUAUCAAGAGGAACACCGAUGGCGAAGGCAGCUCUCUGGUCCGUUUCUGACGCUGAGGUGCGAAAGCUAGGGCAGCGAACG